AAACCUCGAGUUAUCAUUUAAUUUUGAUUUAAAUGAAACAAAGUUACUUGUCAUAACCUCACAAAAAGAUGUGUCCAACAUAAAAUCUUAUACUUUUGUAAAGAUACUUCAAAACUUUGUUUUUUGUUACGUAUUAAAAUAUUUCACCCAUUUUAAUGGAAUUUUCUUUACAGAAAUGUUAUAUAUGUAUAUUGCUUCUUUGUUUAAGUUGUGGCCCCCCUGAUCAGCCCCCUCACUGGGGAACUGUGUUCCGCCUAUGAGAAAGUCAACGCAAUAUUGUCUGGCUUUCUUUGUAGAACGUAAUGGGUUUUAGUUUUUGGAUUUUUUUUUUUAUUUUUAUUUACUUCGGUCUUUUUUGGAGGAAACGACAAUCACAGUUGGUCAGCCGGCCGGCUGUGAGUGUGUGUGUCCAAAACGUAUCUCUCUUGUUUUUUAAGGAGUGUAACAACAGAGGUGGAGUGAAGGGGCAAAGAUGGCCAGAACAGGCUCGCCAAAACCAACCAAAACCAGAAAUCUUCUAACGUGGCCAGUCAAAGAGAGAGUGCAGCGGUAGCAGUAUAGUGGCAGAUGUUGUUGUUUGUAGGCAGCUGCUGGUGCCGCUGCCUGCCAAAGAAAUCUGAGAACCAAAAAGGAAAGAUAUCGACAUCCCGACAGCAGCCGCCUCUGUCUGUGCGUAUAUACAAGAGAUAAAAAUUCAUGAAGGAGUUUGGAGCAGCCUUUGCCAUUUUGGGGAGCAGCAACUUUAAGGACGUUGUAGUGCUGAAACAACUCAAUUUUAAUUAAACGCUUUGUUGGGCAGCAACCUUGAGACUGAACAGUGAUAAGUCUCUCAGACGUUGCGUGACUUGACCAGCUUGUGGAUAACAGGUUCUCUUUUUUUCGCCCAACAUUCAAUUUGGCCGAUUGUGGCCCAAGUGAGCCGGGAAACUGAUAUUCCCAACAUUUACCUACAAAUUUAAUAUUUACCAUUACUAAAGGUGAUAAUUAUGUUGAAAUCUAGGUGGGCCAAUUGUUUUCGCUAAAAAAAAACAAAUAACCCUUUCUAAUCUAUGAAUGGAUCAACAUAUACAUAGACUACACAAUUCUGGGCAUAUUUGAUUGAAUCGUUAAACAGGUUUUAUUCUUAACUUGGUAUUAUGAGAACAGCUUUGCCACAAUCCAUAGAUAUGAUGACAAACAACUAAAUAAACUAAUAUGGUAUUAA